GAUGAACGCUAGCGGCAGGCCUAAUACAUGCAAGUCGAGGGGUAUGUUAGACUUCGGUUUAACAGAGACCGGCGCACGGGUGCGUAACGCGUAUGCAACCUACCUAUAACAGAAGAAUAGCCCGAAGAAAUUCGGAUUAAUGCUUCAUAGUACUAUCAGAUGGCAUCUGAAGAUAGUUAAAGCUCCGGCGGUUAUAGAUGGGCAUGCGUAAGAUUAGCUAGAUGGUGAGGUAACGGCUCACCAUGGCGACGAUCUUUAGGGGGUCUGAGAGGAUGAUCCCCCACACUGGUACUGAGAUACGGACCAGACUCCUACGGGAGGCAGCAGUAGGGAAUAUUGGUCAAUGGAGGCAACUCUGAACCAGCCAUGCCGCGUGCAGGAAGACGGCCCUAUGGGUUGUAAACUGCUUUUAUAUGGGAAGAAAGAAACUCUGCGGAGUAAGAUGACUGUACCAUACGAAUAAGGACCGGCUAACUCCG
rnacentral:rRNA from 1 species